rnacentral:rRNA from 1 species
ACGGGUGCAGCAGGCGCGAACACUUUACAAUGCGGGAAACCGCGAUAAGGGAACCCCGAGUGCCAGCAUCAAAUGUUGGCUGUCCAGAUGAUUAAAAAUCAUUUGUUAGCAAGGGCCGGGCAAGACCGGUGCCAGCCGCCGCGGUAACACCGGCGGCCCGAGUGGUAGCCGUUUUUAUUGGGUCUAAAGGGUCCGUAGCCGGCCUGAUAAGUCCUUUGGGAAAUCUGGCAGCUUAACUGUCAGGCUUCUAAGGGAUACUGUCAGGCUUGGGACCGGAAGAGGUAAGGGGUACUCCAGGGGUAGGAGUGAAAUCUUGUAAUCCCUGGGGGACCAUCUGUGGCGAAGGCGCCUUACCAGAACGGGUCCGACGGUGAGGGACGAAAGCUAGGGGAGCAAACCGGAUUAGAUACCCGGGUAGUCCUAGCUGUAAACGAUGCUCGCUAGGUGUCAGACACGGUGCGACCGUGUUUGGUGCCGCAGGGAAGCCGUUAAGCGAGCCACCUGGAAGUACGUCGCAAGGC